UUCAGCCCAAGAUUCUCACCGAAGGUACAUCGUUAAAAGGCCUAAAAUAAAUCUAUAAAAAAUACGAACACCGGUGCCAAGUCUAGAACUAGAACUCUGAUGGGUUGAAGAUAUGGCUGUCCUCCUAAUAAUGUAAAUGGUUUAUUUCCUUACGAACUCAAUCUUGUUUCCUGGCGCAGUAUCACCAAUGCACCAUGAAAUUAAUAGCAGAAAAUAGCGUCACGCAAACUACGUAUACGACAGACACGUCUGCCUCCAGCUGUCCACGUCAUUCUAGCUCCAACCACGUUGCUUGACUUGUUUGCCAUCCUCUUCGGUUAUCAACCCAAUCCUGUUCUUUUUUUUUUUGAGGGGAAACCCAAUCGUGUUCAUGCCUGCUGCCGGACAAGCACUCUCUAUCUCUACCACCGUGAACCACCACACAACAGCCACUGCUCGCCUGUAAAGUGCAGACGUGCAGUGUGGGUGCAGCAACGGGCCGGGUGGCCGGAACAACAAACCCGUGUGCCCGGCGCGCGCCAACGGCUAGGCGAGGGCCGGCCACCCCGUUCCGUUCCACGCGAUCUGCGCUACCAGCUCGAAUACAAAAUAUCGAAAUUGUUCGGUUUAAAAUGGCACGUCCCCUGCUUGUUCUGCUUCACUUGUCCUGCGCCAGCACCGCGCUCCAGGUCACAAGCUCGACCUCGCAGAGCGCGCCCGCCGCCGGAAUGGCUUCCAGCGCCGCCGCCGACGUGGUUGAGACCGAGCUGCUCCCGUUCAUCCGCGUGUACAAGAGCGGCCGCGUCGAGCGCCUGCUCGGCACCGACACCGUGCCGGCGUCCUUCGACGCGCCCACGGGCGUGGCGUCCAAGGACGUCGUCAUCGACCCGGCCACCGGCGUCUCCGUCCGCCUCUACCUUCCGCCAGCGGCUGCGGCAUCCGGGGGCGAAGGCAAGAAGCUGCCCGUCCUCGUGUACUUCCACGGCGGCGGGUUCAUGGUCGAGACGGCGGCCUCCCCGACGUACCACCGCUACCUGAACGCGCUCGCCGCCCACGCGGGCGUCCUCGCGGUGUCCGUGGAGUACCGCCGCGUGCCGGAGCACCCGCUCCCCGCGGCCUACGACGACUCCUGGGCGGCCCUCGCGUGGGCGGUCGCCGGCACCGCCCCGGGAUGCCCCGAGCCGUGGCUCGCGGCGCACGGGGACGCGUCCCGCGUGUUCCUCGCCGGCGACAGCGCGGGCGCCAACAUCGCGCACAACGUCGCCCUGCGCGCCGCCGCCGAGGGGCUCCCGCGCCCGUGCGCGGCCAUCGUCGGCGUGCUGCUGGUGCACCCCUACUUCUGGGACCCGACCAACGCCAUGACGCCCGCUCUGGAGGUCAGGAUCCGCCGCGAGUGGCGGUUCAUGUGCGCGCGCCCCGACGCCGAGGUCGACGACCCGAGGUUCUGCCCGACGUGCGCCGAGGCGGCGCCGCUGCUCGCGGCGCUGCCGUGCAAGAGGGCGAUGCUGGCCGUGGCGGGCGACGACUUCCUGGCGGUGAAGGGGCGGGCGUACUACGCGGCGCUGCUCGCGAGCGGGUGGCGCGGCGAGGCCGAGCUGGUGGACACGCCGGGGCAGGACCACGUGUUCCAUCUCAUGCGGCCGGGGACGGAGGCGGCCGCCGAGAUGUUGGACCGCGUCGCGGGUUUCAUUUCUCGUGCUUGACCUCACCUGCUCCCCGUCUUGCGUCAGGGCGGCUAAUAAAUGAAGCAGACUCGCUAUCUCCCAAGAGCGUUUUGAAGUCUCCUCUCGGAAUUUUGCUAUACAUCUGUGCUGCACCCAUCGGCGUGCGUUGAAAUUAAUAUAUUUCGUGUCUAACUGUCUAUGUCAGUAACCAUAUUUUCGUUGAAUUUUGAAAAACUUGAUAGGCCCCCCGUGACAAGUCCAACACAGUGGGAGCUCAAUGAGAGAGGCGUUUUGAGGGCCGAGCUCCAUGGAGGCCUUUAUUUUUGAAAAAUUCAAAUUCAAACUUUUAUGGUUCAAAAAAUUCUAAAAAAAUAUGCGUGUAUGUAAGGAUGUAACCAACAUGUGUGUAACAUUUCAUGAUAAAAUACCCUGAUUUGUGAUCUGUACAAAAAAGAUAAAUUUAUGUCCUGAGAGGAUGAAUAGUAUCAUGUGUUAAAUAGCCCCAGAUUUGUCUUUUUUGCGCAACCCUCAUUCAAUGUAUUUUGAACUGAAAAUUUACACACGUGUGUGUUAUGCCU
rnacentral:rRNA from 1 species